UUUUUUUUUUGGGGAUAAAGCUACAAGGUUCGUAGGUGAACCUGCGGAAGGAUCAUUACCGAUGAUAUUGGUGGAUAGAUGUCGAAAUUGAAAUUGCUUCACUGGGCUUAUAAUCUAUCGGGGAUGUGCUACACUAUGCCGUCUUCAACAGUUCAACCUGUGAAGCAAUUUAUUUUGAGACGUUGUCUGCAUCCUGUGUUUAUGCUUACCUAUAUUGUUCCUCGGUGGGGGUCACCCACCUAGUGGAACGCACUUAAAACUCCUUUUGCAAUUGUUAAUUAGCCUCCUAAUACUAUCACAAUUAUUUACAACUUUCCAACAAUGGAUCUCUUGGUUCUGGCAUCGAUGAAGAACGCAGCGAAAUGCGAUAAGUAGUGUGAAUUGCAGAAUUCAGUGAAUCAUCGAAUCUUUGAACGCACAUUGCGCCCCUUGGUUAUUCCAUUGGGCAUGCCUGUUCGAGCAUCAUAGAAAAAGGCAAGCUUUGCUUGGUGUUGAGUGUCUGUCCUAAAGAUGGACUCGCUCUAAAACUAUUGGCGGCUCCGACAAGGGUUCUUUGCGCAGCACAUGUAGCGCAGUAGGCCUGUAGUAGGUGGCAUCCAAUAAGCUAUUUCUGUUAGCUUGACCUCGGAUCAGGUAGGGAUACCCGCUGAACUUAAGCAUAUCAAUAAGCGGAGGAAAAGAAACCAACAGGGAUUGCCCUAGUAACGGCGAGUGAAGCGGCAAUAGCUCAAAUUUGAAAUCUGGCUCUGCUCUAGGGUCCGAGUUGUAAUUUGUAGAGGGUGCUUUGGCACUGAUGGCGGUCUAAGUUCCUUGGAACAGGACAUCACAGAGGGUGAGAAUCCCGUAUGUGGUCGCUGAUCUUUGCCGUGUAAAGCCCCCUUCAACGAGUCGAGUUGUUUGGGAAUGCAGCUCUAAAUGGGAGGUAAAUUUCUUCUAAAGCUAAAUAUUGGCCAGAGACCGAUAGCGCACAAGUAGAGUGAUCGAAAGAUGAAAAGCACUUUGGAAAGAGAGUCAAAAAGCACGUGAAAUUGUUGAAAGGGGAAGCGCUUGCCGCCAGACUUGCCUGCAGUUGCUCACCUAGGCGUUCAGCCUGGGGGCACCUCUUCUGCAGGCAGGCCAGCAAUCAGUUUGGGCAGCCGGAUAAAGGUCUCUGACACGUUCCUCCCUUUGGGUAGGCCAUAUAGGGGAGACCGUCAUGCGGUUAGCCUGGACUGAGGUCCGCGCAUGCUGAUGCGGGACCUGGGAAAGCCAACGCCCCCCUUAAAAAAAAAAA
rnacentral:rRNA from 1 species